CUCCAGCUACAACCACAACCACAACAACUCCAGCCACAACCACGACCACUCCAACCACAACUCCGCCUACAACAACCAUGAUAACUCCUGAAGGACAAAUAACAAUCCAAGGCCCCGUGAUCAUAGCAGGUCUAGAGAUUAAGCUAACUUCCUCUGGUGAGCUCAGCAACGGAACCAUUGUCGAGCUUGUCAAAGAGUUUUUGAGAGACCAGCUCCUAAACGGCACAGCCCACACGGUCAACGUGAGAAAAAUUCAAAGGGUUGUCGUUGGACCAUAGAAACACCACCUGGACACAAACUGUAUGGACCACAUAAGCAUAUAUUACGUCAGUUUUACGCCAUUAGUAAACCACUGUAGGAAAUGGUAUUUCGAAAGGAUCAAUUCAUCAUUUAGCACUUAAAUAAAAUCUAAAACAUUCAUUGUUGACAGGCACAUUGGAAUUAAGUGUUAUUUGCACAUCAAAACAGUAAGUAAAAACCAAGAAAUCUGAUCUGGCAAAGGAGUAGGUUGUAUGUGGUUUAUGCCCAUGCUUUGUAACUGGAGAAACUGUUCAUCUGCUGAUAAGCCUAGUUACCAGGAAACACUUCAACUUAUUGCACCUCAGUCCUCCCCUUUGACUGCACAGUAACAAAACCUGUUUAACAAAUACACCUGGAUGACUUCCGUAUACCAAGUGUAUGACAAGACAAGGAAGUGACAGUGUAUUCCUGGAAAAACGCAGUUUCCCAGUCUAAUUAAAGUACCUAAAGAAUUAUCAAUGAACACAAUGUGACUUGUUUUUACAUGUACCAAAGCAUGUUUCCUGGUUGGCUUUGCGUCGGGAAAGACAUCUGCACUUUAUAAAGGACGUACAGUUGAGGCCAAAAUUAUUAGCCCCCCUUGUGAAAUUAGACAAAACUCUUGAUUUCUCUCUGGAAAUGACCAUUAACAAGUGUUUCCACGUGUGCAUGCAAACCUUUUAAAGGUUUUGGCUCACGGCACAUAUUAAUGAAUGUGUAUUAUUUGUGUUGCGUACUAGACAGUCCUUGUUUUGUGGCGGAAGUGUAAAAUAUGUUAAGUAUGAUAGACCUUGUGAGAUUAGAGCAUAUUAUUAGGGUUCCUAUUGUAACCCUAUUGAAAUGCAAAGGAUUAUUUUAUUAUUAUUAUUAUUACCUUCCAAGUAUUUUUCUACCUACAGUCAAAAUGUUUUGUACUGUCUUCAAUUUUCUCAAAUUAUUUUUGUACUUAAAUACUUAAUGCACAACCAGAUUAAGUUUGACAUUUCUGACACUUGAACUGUAGAACCAAAAUGUUGAACAUUUGACUUCCUACCAGUAGGUUUGUGUGACAAAAUGAUUUUAGUUUAUUAAGCUUUAUAUCACUUUGAAAGACAAAUAAAGAGAUAUCUGUGUUUGUGUCUAUUAAUACUA